GUGCUUGCUUUGGCAGCACAUAUACUAAAAUUGGAACGAUACAGAGAUUAGCAAGGUCCCUGCCUAAGGAUGACACGCAAAUUCACGAAGUGUUCCAGCAGAAG
ensembl:snRNA U6 U6 spliceosomal RNA